ensembl:lncRNA
GUGGAAAUGAUUGGUUUGUAUGAUUCCCACACAAGUAAGUUAAAAACACAAAGUGUUACGAGACAGCCAGUUUCAAGAAGCUGUAUCAAGUACAAGCAAGCUAUAAGGAAGGACUGAAGACUAAAAAGAAGUUGUUUACAUUAGGAACAAGAGUAUCCCUACCUAUACUAUUAGCCCAUCAACAAUAAGAAUAUCGGAAGAGUCAAGAAUAAUGAAGAAAUCAGGAGCGUUCAUCAAAUAUGUUUAUUCUUUGUCAGGGAGAAAACCACAGGUUGUAUUCGCAUCACAAGGAAAGGAAGAGUAUUUUUGACUCUAGUCAUAAUCAAGCAAUGUAAAACAGUCACAACUAGAGUAAUGCUUUAAUAUCAGUAUGUCCAGAUUCCUUCCAGAAGGACUGCUAAAAGAGCAAGUUAGGAAGCUCUUCCAGAGGCUGAUUUUAAUAACUCAGAAAAUAAAUGUUUGGGGGCUUGGAAGAAGUGACACAAAAUUCAGUAUUAUGCUCCUUGAAAAAGCAUUUCUUUUCAAAUUUAGAAGGAUGGAGGAGGUCCACCGAAGACUACCAGCUCUACUCUUUAAAUUUGUGGUUGGCUUUGGUGAUGCAGUAACAGUGUUUUAUCAGUAUUGUGCUACAGUGGUGAGAUAAAGCCUUGAAGCAGAGUGGUCCAGAGCAGAUGCAGAAACCCACAGUUGACAUGAGAUACUCUUCUCCCCUCUACUUUUAUGCACACUUAGGUAAUUAACCCCCACAAUGAAAAAAUAAAGCAUCUAUGAAAAAGUAGCAAAGAAGUAGCCAACCUCAUCUAAUCUUUACCCAAGUCAGAAGCAGCCAUGAAGCCUGUGCUCUGGAAAUCACUGAAAUUUCUUUUUCUUUUUAAUCUGUAAUUUCUUUGCUGAAAUAAAGGGCGUUGAAUUCCUUGAGGUGAAGAGACAAAUUCCCUUUUUGCCCUGAACUUUCUGAAAUACUCAGCACACACUUCCAAUCUCCAAACCACCAGUCCUGCUUUAAAACUCUCCCUGUUGGGUUGGGUGGGGUUGAACUCACAGAUCAGGACAUGGGAAUGUAGAGAGGUAUCCAAAUUCCUGCUGCAGUCACUGGAAACAUAGUCAACACCAUCAGUGAAAUCUGACCUCCCCACUUCUAAGAUGUGUCUCUUGACUCUUUUUAAAAAGGAAGGAAAAUGAGAGCGUUCCCCCAAAUGCUACAUGUGCUUUUCUAGCUCCAGACAGGAAAUAGCAUUGCAUCUGAGCCAGGUUAACGGGGGAUACAGAGCAUGACUGUUCUCCCCUUAAAUCCAUAUUAUAGCCAUUUUUACCUUGCAGCAUGGAACUAAGAAAUGAUCAGCAGGUUUGCUCAGUCUAUGCCUUAACCUUUGGCGGAAAUUCCCCCACCUCACAAACAGAGUAGGAAGCACACGCACAGCUUGAGAACCAAAGGCAUGAAAGUACAUUUUCAUCAGAUCUUAGAUGAUCAAGAUAUGCUGCCAAGUGACUAUUUAUAGGUACCUGGUUGUCGCACAUGCUUUGCAGUAUUCCAGAAUGUACUAAAAACAGACCCCAAAUGGAGGCAAUACCCUGCAGCACCACCUCCGAUGAUAGAAAUAUUUUCCAGCCUGCCAAUUUCACACCCAAACCAGUGCCUGUUAAAUAAACACCACGAGGAGAAAAAAAGUUUCAUCCACAAUUGAAGAAAACCUGACAAUUUCUCAGCAAUCAGCUAUUUCUGUUGGAGGUCCGUCAGACACUUCUGGAUGAUAUGUGUUUCUCAGCUGUUCUCAUUUGGAACAAGGGUAUAAUGCAGGUGUACAGUAACUUUAAAAAGCAAUUGGAGAAGCUGAGGUAUUGGCUGAAUUAGAAGGAAUCCCGUGGUGGAACUCAGACUCAAGAUUAUCUAGUUUGUACCCAUAGUCUAAGCACAUUUCCAUCCCAGUUUGUGCCUGGAUUUUAGUACAAACUGCACAUGGUUAGACAAGACAAGGAGAUUUUUAAAUGUGCUGAUGAUCUUUUUGCUUUGCAAGCCAUGCCCGUUGUCAGUUAUGCACAAUCUUCAAUUCUUCACUCCUGACAUUUUUUCUUGAAAGUCUUUUAUUUCACAUUCCUUGGGUAUUCCUCAGAGCCCUGCCCAAUCCUCCCGCUUGAACGUCACUCACUCACCUUCCCCACACGCCAAGCACUGCACCACUUGUUGACUUACUUAGUAGUACAGCCUCGCAAGAUCCCAAGAUGCUCGUCAUCACCAUGUUUGGUAAUGUAAAUACUCUCUGUAAGAGAAAUGAAAGUUUUUAUAAAUUAUUUUUUCUAUUCUCUUUUCUACUGUGCUCUUACUGACAUUUUUCCCACAUAAAAUUAUUAAAACUGAAAGUUUAGCACUUUUUGUUGACUUUCAAAAGAAGCUACCAAGCUGAAAUAUAUUUAAAAAAAUACACUGAGCUAGACAGAGAGUGGACAUUGAGGAUCUUGGCAGGAUUCAAGGUUCCUCCAGCUGAAUUGCAGUAAACUGAAAACAUUUAUAAAGCUAGCCUGAAAUCUUCAGCAGCCAAAUCAGCCUAGCAAAGUGGAGUCCCUUCUCCAGUGCCCUCCUUGCAGCACUGUUUGCCACCAGCUGAAGACGCUUCCUGCUCCAUCCCAGCCCCUCUGGGAAGUUGUCUGGUUUUUCCCAGCCAGCCAAGUCCACUUGCAUUUCCACUCUGACUGCCCAGGGCCAUCCCCUUUUAGCCCAUGUGCCCACUUGGCAUGUCCCCAGCCCCUUCCCCCUGCCUGUGUUUGUGUUACUACUGUCUACACAUAUACAGAUUGCAGCCCGAUCACCACGUUGGCACUUCAAAUGCUCAGCACCUGUUUUGAAGGUUAACAGAUAGUGACAAGUAUAAUCACAGCCUCUUCUAAGUUUUAGCCUGCCAGCCAGUCAAUUAUUUUAGUAUUUCUGGUAGCUUGUUUCUCCUCCCACACACAUACCCCACCACUCUGUAAGCCAGCUCUGCAGGCAGUUGCAACACACUCUACUUUGGGAAGAUGCCACCUUUUCUUUCUCCCCUUCCUGGUGGUUGACAGCUUUUGAUGCUGUCCUUCACCAUGCCAAAGCACUACACCAUGACACAGCUCCUAGGUUGAUGCUUCUAAGCUUUGUCCACCUGUUAUUGGAAGGUGCCACCUCAUGAGGAGAGGUUACCCCUGAGGCUCCAGCCUCACUUUCCACCUCCAUGGGCUCUGAGUUCCAUGGCCAAAAGGAUUAAUGAGCCACACAACUCAUGGUUGCACGCUGUAGGCUUGGAGAUUUGAGCUGAGGACACUGAGGGCAGGAAAUGGAGGGAUGAGCCAUGAUGCUAGCUCACAUACCCUCAUCUAAACGUACCUGUGACCAGAAAAUUCCUCCUAAGCCCAGUGUGUAGGGCUUUCAAUUGUAAGAGAGAGUACUUUGACAGAGGUCUUCACCCCAGGCAACCUAGGCGAAAGUAUUGUGCAGGGAGGAAAACAGGGAAAAGGGCACUAUUUUCUUUCAUUUUAGACCAGAAAGGAGAAACAAGGCCCUCUCCCUUCCCUCCAAAGAUGUCAGCAGGACUAUGGUUGUUCAAAGUCUAUCUCUAUUAGCAAACCUGAUGACCCAAGCUAAGCAGCAUUGAUGCCAAACGACAGUCCUCUCUUCAGGGUGCAAUGCACUGCAAUUGAUUACUGAGGAUAGAAAGGAAAUGUCAAACCUGGUGGACAAAACCUGGAUGGGAAGAGGCAAAAAAUGCCAGGUUGCUGCUUCAAGAAACAGACAGUCAACUUUUUAAAAGAUACAUUAUUUUUUCCCCACUUAAACUGAAAAAAAAGGAAAGAAAAAAAAAAAAAGCAGCUGGAAAUGCCAAAUUAAAUGGUCAUCAAGUCUGCUGACCAAAAUAAAGCAAACAUAGCAGCACUGGAAAGAGCUGUUAGGAGAUGACAGCCUUCAGCUCUUCUUGACAGUGACAUCCAUUGCUCACUUCCCAUGCAGCAGGUAUGCGUCCUAAGGUUGCAUUAGAGCCAAUUGAAGGCAGCACAUCUCUGCAAAUGAGUGGUAGGAUUUGAUGUGAGAGGGCCAAGCCUGGAAGUGAUGCCAAGAUGAGAACAGACAGAAAGAACAAGCCCAGAUCCCACCUGCCCUGUCCACAGAGAGUGCUGGCAGAGGCCAAGGAGAAGGCAAAUGUGGGACUGACUCCUGUGCAUCACAGAGUGCCUUUGUAGCACCUGAAGGUACUGGUUUAGCAGAUCAACCCAACUGGUUUCAUUUGUUACCUGGACCAUGGAGCGUAAAGACACAAAUGCAGGUGAUAACAGCUCAGCCAGGGCAGCUCACACAGGUUCAUCAUCCACUUAGUAGGACAGAAUCUCCUCCAUUGCUCUAGAGCACUGGUACAUAAAGGCUGCCCUGGAUGCUAAGAAAUGACUUACCAAAACAGUUUACAGAAGCAAAAAGUGUAAUUUGAAGGCUGCUUGCUCAGGCUACACACCAGCAGUGCUCUGUUUGCCGACAACCCUUCUGUGGGAGGAGACAGUGUGAGGUGAGGAGGUGGGUGCCAAGUUCUCUUCAUCCCUUUCCAGCCACAACACUGCUGCUAAAUUUAGACAAAAUCAUUUUGCACACCGUGCUCUUCCCAGUCACACCAGGCAACCUGAACUCGAUCCACAGCCCAGACUUAUUUCUGUUCACCUGGUUACCACACAUACCUCCAGAACAUCCCAUGACUUCAAGGUCUGCCGGGGUACCCAGCCAUCACUGCAUAGGAAAAGCCAGAAAAAUGCAUGGAAGUUGAUAAUGUGGUGAAUCCAACAUUCCCAGGAAGAGCUGGGAUCUGCGUGUUGUCUAAUUAUUGCAUAACGCAAGUCAAUGUAACUCCUCCAGUACAAAUAAGGGCCAUGUUAAAAACAAAGCUGUUCCCAAAGAGACCUAACUUCACAAACACUUUUUUUUUAUUUUCCUGAGAGAAAGCAAAUGCUUUUUCCUUGAGACAGGAGAGGAGGAAAUAGCUGCUCAGAGCUCCCAUGUCCUCAACUACAUGACAGGUUGGUAAAGAGCAAUGAAACAGCACAUUGACUAAGCUUGUACUAUUAAAUUCAAACUAGCAAUGCCACAAGAGUUUUCCCAGUAUCAUAUAAUCAAAUGAAACCAAAAUUUCCAUUCCAACUGCACUAAUGCCAUUGGAAUGAUGAGUCGGGAAGCACCAGGAAAGGUCAUGCUGUAAAAUAAGCACUUGGUGCUUAGUUUGCAGACGAGCUUGGGUUUCUACAUGGCAUGGAUUGGGGGUUAUUAUCCAUUUUUAUAUACUUCUUUUUGUCAUAUUUUAGAAGCAGAGCUUUUAGAAGCCUGAGAAACAGUAUGUUUACAUAGUGCCUGUAAAAAAACCAAUAAUUAAAAUACUCUGCAGUAUAUUGUUAAUCUGAUAUCAAAAAUAUCUGAAAAAAACAACGCCAUUAGCAAAAAAUCAUAGGAUCUGUCCUCAGAAAAAGGAAGCGACACAACACACCUAUAUUCCACAAUGACAUCCAAAAGUUUCCCAUUUGUCAAAGCCAAAAUAUUGUCAUGAGCACAGCAUGUCUGAAUGAAAUCCAAGAUGGGUGGGUGAGUGGGAAAAUGCCAGAUCCUUUUAUUUUUUUCCUCAAAAAUUUAUGAAAGGAAAUAGUAAUUUCAUUUACAAAGGCCUUCUCUUUGGAAACAUCUAUUUAAAAAAGGGAAAAGGAGAAAACACCAACAGCCAAUUCUAGCUACAUACAAUCUUGCCAAAGCAGUCUUUGUAAUUAUAUUACUCAAGAGAGAUCUGGGCUGAGACUUGAGUUCCCCAGUGUUUAUGUAAUUAAAUACAUAACAACAUGAAAGAAUUUGUUGUUUUUGCCACGGUCAGUUGUGGCCUGGGCUGGAAGCUGUGGCCAAACUACCAGCAUCAGGCCCUGUGAGUUUGUUUUUCCCUAAGUAAUUCUGUAUAGACUGCAUGUGAUCUCCAAACAAAGACAUGGCUGAUAGCACCCAGCGUCAGUGAUCACAACCCACCCCAAAAGCUCCCAGACAUGCAUCUUGUACAGUUCAUUCCCUUUUGUCAUUUGCUGCACUGUCAUUUGCUGAGCUGCUCUCCAUCAUAUUUGAAAAUCAUGGCUGUCUGGUGAAGUCCCCAGUGACUGGAAAAAGGGAAACAUUACUCCCAUUUUUAGGAAAGGGAGAAAGGAUGACCCAGGGAACUACAGGCCGGUGAGCCUCAGCUCUGUGUGUGAGAAGAUCAUGGAGCAGAUCCUCCUAGAAGCCAUGUUAAGGCACAUAUGAGAUAAAGAGUUGAUUCAAGACAGCCAUCAUGGCUUCACCAAGGGCAGAUCGUGCCUGACCAAUCUGAUGGCCUUCUAUGAUGGAGUGACAGCUUCGGUGGACAGGGGACGGCCAGCAGGGAGGGGGAGGUGAUUGUGCCCCUCUACUCGGCUCUUGUGAGGCCCCAUCUGCACUACUGCAUCCAGGCCUGGGCCCCCAGUACAGGAAGGACGUGGAGCUCUUGGAGUGGGUCCAGAGGAGGCCACUAAGAUGAGGUGCUGGAGCACCUCUCCUGUGAGGAAAGGUUGAGGGAACUGGGCUUGUUUAGCUUGGAAAAGAGAAGGCUCCAGGGAGACCUCAUUGUGGCCUGCCAGUACUGGAAGGGAGCAUAUAAACAGGAAGGGGAACGGCUGUUUACAAGGGUGGACAGUGAUAGGACAAGGGGGAAUGGUCUUGAACUGAGACAGGGGAGGUUUAGGAUGGAUAUUAGGAGGAAGUUUUUCACACAGAGGGUGGUGACGCACUGGAACAGGUUGCCCAAGGAGGUUGUGGAUGCCCCAUCCCUACAGGCAUUCAAGGCUAGGCUGGAUGUGGCUCUGGGCAGCCUGGUCUGGUGGUUGGCGACCCUGCACAUAGCAGGGGGGUUGAAACUCAAUGAUCAUUGUGUUCCUUUUCAACCCAGGCCAUUCUAUGAUUCUAUGAUAUAAUUCUAUAAUUCCAUCACAGGAUUCAUCAGUUUCAGCUGCUAUGUAAAAACAGAUACAGAAGAGAGGAAAUUUAUUGACUUAACAUGUUAAUGCUGAAUUACUCUUUAUGAACCAGCAAAUAAUAUAAAGCAACUAUAUAAGGCACUUGACCAAAGCCUUUAACCCAGAGUAAUCUGGAAGAAGUCUCAGAUUUCUGUUUCCAUAUCUGUUUUUACCAUAGAGGAUAAACAAUUUUUGUGAUACAGACUUGGACACAUCUCUGUUUAUAAUAACUUGUCAACGGGAAAGAAGAGAGCCAAAUGAAUUAGUCUUUCACUCCCUGUGUAUCAAAAUGGGGAUGGACAUCUGGGCUGUUGAUUUUUAGCCUAAAUAUCAGCUCAGCAUCACAUGCAUUUGGGACUCUAGAAAAUAAAGCCAUCUAUAUCACUUAUGCAUAACAGAAAACAGUGGACAACAGGAAAAACCUCCUUUGAAUUUCAGUUGAAGGUCUUAUUUGAUCUACAAAGACCUACUCCCUGACACAUGGCUGAGGGGAGUCUCAUGCCACUGAGUCAUUCCCCAUCAUCAGCAAAGCUCCAUCCAGACUUGGUCACCAGGGCUGAAAAAAAGCUGACCCUAGCAUGGGAGGCAAAACAGGGAGAUCAUCUUCUAUCUCAACUCAUCCCAACAUAGUACUUCACAUCUUGAGCACCACAGAGCAACAGUAUAGGAGACACCAGCCUUGUGCUGAGUGGUUCAUCUUCCUUGGUUUUCAGCCAUGACUCAGCAGUUGGCAGCACGAGACACCCCUGCUCUCCCACCCCAAGGACAUCAUAUAUAUGUUCAUUUUAAAUAUAGGGAGGUGAUCCACUCCUCUAGCACAGAUGCUUAGCCAAUUAGAUUGGUCUGAGUGUCCUCAGCAUUUAAGCAGAUCACUGACAAAAAUAGAAAAUCAGAAGGACUUGGAAGCUAUUUUGGUCUAGGCUUUGACUGUAAAAGGUAUGGCUGAUAACUGAGACCACUGGCUCCAUUACAAAUAAACGCUCCAUUUAGAGUAGACAGAUGAACUGAAUCAAAUAGAUGAGCUUCUGUUUUUACAUCUUGGUAAGUGUUUUGCUAUGAGAAAUAGUCUUCACUUGAUCUACAUUGCCUUAUCUCAAUGUCCCCUACAAAGAAAGCAAUUAUCCCCUACUGUCCCCAAAUAUCUUCUCUCUUUCACAGAUAUUCAACUACCACUCUAUACAAAUGUUUUCAGAUAUUGUCUUUUGAUUCAGAGCACCACUAUCCAUACAUGAAAAUGCAGCUCAUAUCUUGCAGCAAUAUGAGAGGACUUCAGUUUCCAGUAGAUAAGAUUGCUGCACUAAACUACAUCUUGGAAUGUAAUAUCCAGCCUCUGAUCUCCGUGUGACCCACUAUUUUCCUCCCACUGUAGCAUGUGAGAAAUUUUAAUGGUCUUUUUUUCUCAGUCAACACCUGUGAGAGGGAGGGAAGUAUCAUUAUCUCAGUUCUACAGAGGAUCACCAUUAGCAGAAACAAGCUAAGGUCAAGGUUAUCUGAAACGUCUACAACCCAGCCAGAAAUAGUUCUUCUGGGUCCUUCUGAGGCUUUGACCACACACUGAAAAAAGGUAAGAAAGCUGGUCAAAAUUACUCUUGGUAGCCAAACUUCCUGAUAGUAGAAAAGCACAUAAUUCACCAAAAAGCAUCACAAAUGCCAGUGGAUGAAAGCUGAAACAAAGCACUGAAAUAGACUGUAUUUUUCAUAACUGUCAGGAUAACUAAUCUUACCAUCAUCUCCCAAAGAUAGGGUGGAAUCUUCAUCACUGUCAGUACUUCAGUCAAGAGUGGAUGCCUUUUUCAGGCUCAUUUGGAAGAUAAGAGCUUGAUGUGAAAUGAUAUCGUAUGGUCUGAAUUAUGUAGGAGGUUAGAGAGAAAGAUCAUCAUAAUCCCUUCUAGCUUUAAAGUCUAUGACAGAUUAGUGUCUUUUAUAUGGAUAGUUCUUGCUCUCAGCAGAUGCUGAACUAUUUCAGCAUUUAAGUGUUUUGCUGCUGGCUCUGAUAGGACUCACUGUUCCUAUCAUGCUGCCUUACAGCUCUUUACCUUCAAAAGAAUGCUCUGCUGGUAAGGGCUGACAUAAGCUUUGUUUUCCAGUCAGCAUUUCAUUCGAACAAACACUGAAUCAAAAAAUGGACGAACAACUCAAAAUGAGACAGUGGCAGAAUAUCAGUUUGCAACCUCUUUCCUAAUACAGGCAUCUCAACUGAACGCAUGGAGGAAAUGUGUGAAAAGCACUUCCUGUGCUGUUUUGCUCACUUUGCUCCGGUAUGCCAAGGAUACUCAACAAUACGUGUCUUGGAAAUUUUCAAACUGUUUCUGGAGUGCCAAGAUAUAGUAGAUGAUACCUCCUAACAAAUCACCUUGGACUUCCCUUGAGGAGAAACUCACUACUGGAGUCCAGCCUGACUAUAGAAUUAUGGAAUAAUUCGUGUUGGAAGGGGCUUCUGGAGACCCCUACUCUAACCUCUGUUCAGAGCAGAGGACUCAACUUCUGAGCAGUCUGCUCCAGCUGUCAAUAUUGUCAAGGAUGGAGAGUCUCCAAAAAUCAAACUACUUGAAGAAGAGCAAUAAAUAAUGGAAUCAAAUUCUUCUUGGCAGUGGUGAAAAGUCAAGUGAGGAACAGUAAUAAAGGGUAGAAGAAGAGGUUGCUAGACUGCACUUAGGAAGCUCAGAUUGGCCACUAGGACACUUGUUUUUUUUUUCCUGGAGGUGGAUGGUGCAGCUCUGAGACCUACAUCUGGAGAGGAGGUAAGAACUUUACCUUUGGGGGUUUCCAAGACUUAGCCAGACAACAGCAGAGUUGGUUGCUUUCAAUGUGAGAUUGGACCACAGAACUCCAGAAGCCCUCUUCAACUUGUGUGUCUGUGUGAAGUAGAUAGCUCAAUGGAUCAAUUGGUCAGUGGAAGUCAACAUAGCUUUUAUAAAGACACGCCAUACCUCACAAAUCCAUCAGAUAUUUCUGGAAGGUUGUCAGACAUGAGGGCUAGAGCUGUUCUACUGAUUCACUGCAGCCAGUUUUUGAAAAACACAGGCAGCUGAAUUCUCUCUCCCAGUAAAGGUUCUUAAAGAAAUUACUGUCAUGAAAUAUCAUAAACUCAUAAGAAUGAAAUACUGGAAGUUAAAAGUAGGCAUAAAUUAUUAUAUGUAUGCACACAUACAUAUAAUAAUGCAUGUACACAUGCAUGCAUAUGUUUCUUUGUGUACAUUUUUGUGUGUAUACAUAUGUAACAUUUAUAUAAUAAGCUUCUGGAAAGUCCCCUGAGAAUUUAUGCUGAAUUUCUUCUGUUCACUACCAUCACAGUGAUCUGGAAAAGGGAUGAGCAAUCAAAUGAUCAAGUGACCAGCUGCUGUAAGUUAUCCAGGAUUUUGAGAUCUAAAUCUGAAUAUGAAUAACUGUGACAUGAUGCUGAGUGACCAGGCAAUGAAACCACUGGUAAAAUGCAGUGUCAAUAAGCAUAGGUUAAUCUGUGUGGGAGAAAUCACAUUAGCCAUACACAGAAAGUAAAAGGACCAGAGUCAUUGUGAGCAAUCAUCUGAAAAUUCCAGCUCAGUCGCUUUGAAAAAGAGAAUGAUAGGAAUAACUAGAGCAAGGCAAAGAAAAUAAAAAGGAAAUUGGAAAUUUUAGGCAGCCCUAGUCAAUUUUCUCAAUAAGGAGAUAGCAAAAGGCUUGAAAUGGCACCCAACUGCCAAGUAACUGAAUCAACUCUUCAGCUUGAAAAAAAAAGCUAAGGGAGGGAUGGGUCCCUGGUUGCAGUGGCACCAGAAAUACAUCCUUCUAUCUGUAGAUUUAAUUUCCUCCAGUUCUGGCUUAGGUUCUUUGCAGAAAGCAUGACUGUUCACAACUCAUACCAAUGCGCCCAGAUGUCACCCAUAACAAGUGCAGAGGACAGGGCAAUUAGCAGCCUAAGUUCAUUUACGUAUUUCAUUCUGAAAUGGCCAAAUUACAUAGAAGUGACAAGAUCUACCAGAAAACCACCAUUUUAGUCUGCAAAUGUAGACUGAGAGAAGGAAAGAAAGCCAGAGACAGACCUCUGACUCACAGGUGUUCAAGAGUGAUAAGAAUAAACAAGAAAUGGUUCAAAAUGAGCCGCACCUUUCACACCCACCGGGCCCGUAAUGGGACAGUAACAACCAUGUAUUCCUUGAGUAGCAUCAGGAACAGCAGGGAUUCUAGUUUAAUGCUGCUACUACUUGCUUAUAAAUAGUAUCAGUGGGUGGAAACUCAUUUCCAGUUUUGUAUGGGAACAAAUCAUUCCAGAAGCCUCUAGUUUCUCCUAAAAUAUCAGCGUCAGGGGGACGUGACAAGUUCAAUAGCUUGGAGAACAAAGUCUGGGAAUUGAGAACAGCAGACAGCAAACCGUAUUGCAUGGGCCAUGUUGGGUGUGGUGCACAAAAUCUAUCUCACCUGUUACUGUCCUCAGGAAAUGAGUCCAUUGAGGUAAAAGCAGUCCACUUCUCUGACCUAGAAGAGAUUUUUCCAGGCCUUGACCACAUGUGGCUGUAAAGAAUAACUGAAUCAUUUAGGUUGGAAAAGACCACUAAGGUAAUCCAGUCCAGCCAUCAGCCCAUCUCCACCAUGCCCACUAACCAUGUCCCUCAGUGCCACGUUUACAUGUUCCUUGAAAACCUCCAGGGCACCUGCCAGGGGCUUCUGUGAUGGAUGAACAAAUGCAUUUUCAGUGGACAGAAGACAGUACUUUCUAGAGAGACUUUCACACAAGCUGCUAAAUGCACUGUAGGAGUUACGAUGUAGGACAUCAAAAACUAGGGUGUCAAAAUGGCCUAUUUAGUAGUUCCUACACAUACUCAAGCCCAGCUUUCCAGGCACCAUAUAUAGACCAUAGACCUAGACCACAGAGAUCUUUGAUGAGCAUCAUCUAAAUGGAUUUGGGCUUCUCCUCCUGGCAUAAUCAGUGUUUAAGUUACAAACUGGUGCUUCUUAGCAGUAGUAGGUUGAUUUCAUCAUGUGACAGAGUUCCAGAACACUGAUAUUCACAGUGAUGAAUCCUGCAAAACCAAGCAAGCUCUGAAAUAAUACUAAAAACUUUCAGCUUUUCAAGCUUUCAGCUUUUGAAUUUCAGUUGUACCUGACGGAUUUCAAAAACCAAAACUCAAUCACACAAAGCUUUGCAAACAGAGAGUGACAGGAAAGUUGGCCAGCACCCAAGCCCAUCCUGACAGGGGAAACUGGCACAGCUGUUUCUGAAAACACCUACACAGUUCACCCAUGCACAGAGCAGUUUUACAAGUCAGUCAUUAACCACUUCACACCCACUGAGGAGCACACAGGCUAUAAUAACUUUGUGAUGAGGCUCUUGAGCUGAGCUGAGUGCCUUGCAGGCAUGUAAGGAAUCUAAAUCCUCACACACCUCUGUUAGGGUCGUGGGGAGGUGUGGAAGGAAGGACACUUCCAUGCUGUUUUUGUUGGUAUUUUAGCUGCCAAGGAGGAAUCAGGAAUCUCUGCUGGUGCAUCCCCAUGUGUCAAAGAUAAGUCACAAAUAGUCAGCUGAGGCAUUACAGUACCUGAAAAUAGCCACUAGAAGCUGCACUGCACAGUACUGCUCACUGGCGGCAGCUCACCCAUGAUAUGAGAAAUAAAAGUUUCUCCUCCACCUGGAAAGGAUUCAACUCCCCAUGUUGCAGGAAGGUGACUUAAACAGGGGGACACUGGUGUUACUGGGUCCAGGCUUGCCUUGUUGAGGAUGACCCAACAGGCAGUCACAAAAGCAAGACUCAUAGAGCUAGAAAGAAGUGGAGAAAAAUGAGUCUUAGUAAUCUGGGAAUUCAGCAGAGAUCUGGCUCCUACUUCUUGCUUCAGUUGAGUGUCCUUAUCUCUAGGCCAUGCCUCCUGUACGCAGGACAAACUGCGUCACACCAGCUCAGCCAUCCCUACUUUCAAUGGAUGUUAAAUCUUGAAGGCCAAGGAGCAAAUUAUGCAGAAGAGAACCAACUCUUCUCUUUAAUUUUGAAGAGAUCUGCUUUGAGAGAGCAGCUUCCUGCCAUGGAGCUCAUCACCCUCCAGAGCAGGACAAGCCUCAAUAACAGCAGGGACUAUUUCCCAAUCAGCUUCAGGCACUUGAGGAAGCUACCAGCAGGCACAGGGGGCUGCAGCAAAACAAACAAACAAACAAACAAAAAACAGAGAGAACAGUUGGAAAGCAAAAGUUUUCUCUCUCCUUCACCACAGUGACAUUACGGAAGGAAACCAAACAAUGAGCUGUCACAGGGCUGAGAUAACACCCCGCACGGUGUCUGAUGCCCCAGUAAGGAAGGCUCCCUCCGCUAUUCUGAUCUGGAAAGUCUGGGGAAGAGAACACAACCCAGGCAAAGAGCCCAAGGUCCUUGUCACUUGAUAGCAUCUCUAGGGCCUCCCUCCCGGCAUGCAGCCUUCCUCAAGCACAGCGGCUGCAGGCCAGAAGCAGGCCCAGUAGGUGGCAUUUCCGCAGCUGCAGGCAGGAUGAGGCCAUGACCAUCCCGUUGAGGACUGCCACCCUCUUGAAGGACAGUUUUACUUCCAUCUGGCAGCUGUCCGUGCAACAAAUCAAACAAGGCAUUGUUAGUCUUAAGACAAAAGAGGAGGGGAAGAACAAAAGACAGAGCAGAACUGAUUGCUGUCUUGUCGUCCUCCCCACAGUGCUCUUUCCUGUUUAUGAGAAGUUUGCUGAGGGCUACAAAUGAGUCUCAGGUCCAACCUCUGCUCCAGAGAGCCUCGAACACUGGGAGGAGGAAAUGAGUCUGGGUUUGGUGACACCAAGCCUGACUUUGCUUGCACAUCCUGCCUCUCACUUGAGAGCAGACAGCAGACCCUCUCUGGAGGCAUGCAGAGCAUUGCUUUUUGUCUGAAGACAAACACACCCUGAAACCACCUCAGAGGAUGCAGGGCAUGCACCAGCCUGGUCAAGGAUGUUGUGGUGUCAGCAGCAUGUCUAGAAGCACAGUUGUUCUGCUGUUCUGCAGCACAGUGGCCUAGCACGGUGUGGUGACGAGCUACCAGCCAGGCAGUAACCACACGAGGGGUUUCUUGCACAAGUGGUUCAAAGGGAGCAAGAAGCUGACACCUCUCAGCUGCUGAGCUGCUCACCGUGUUCACAUGUGAACACUUCUGGCCUACAAACAUCAAGCAUGCUGCUGAAGAGUCAGAGGAAGACAUGAGCUCUGUCCUUUAGGAGCUCUGGUACAGACUCUGAGUCUGGCAAGAGGUUGACCAAAACAUUCAGCCAUGGUGUGUCUCCAUUUUCUCCUCCAAGCCUCCAGCACUGUCCCUACAGUUCAGUACAGAGCCUUCCAGCCCACCUGGCCACUAGGAUCCCCAUCCUGGUCCUGAGGGAUGCUCCCCAGCCCAGCACCCUUCUGUUCAAAAUAAUCGGCUAAAAUGUGCUCAUUGUCAUGCCCUGGAAAUGGUCUUCCAAGGUGUAAAUGUGAACAUACAAACCUUCCCUAUGGCACAAUAAAGAGAACAUCAGUGAGCAUCAGUGGAGUUCAGUUGAUCAACAAGACAUUUUCCUCCCAGUUGCCCUACAAAUGCAGGCUGUGGUCUGAAAUCCCCUGUGUGGGCACCUGGUCUAUGCCUGGUGCCAUUUCAGCUGAAGGCGUGACCCAUGCAGGCUGUAGUCCUCCAGUACCCUGCUACAUCUGCUGAUGGACACCCUGACUGACAAAACAGAAAGGAGAAAGCUCAGCUUUCCAGUUACUGACAUUCCUCCAAGGUUGGCAGUAAACGACCCACAGCAAAUAGAGCGCAUGUGACCACAAAGACAAUAAGGCAGCAGAGGGCUGGAGGAUUUUGCAAGUCAGUGGUGAUUUGUGCAGAGAUGUCUCCAGGUUUGCACGUAAGCCAGACACAGAUAGCCUUGUUGGCCAUAUGCAGCAUGUUUUACAAGCUAAGAUAAGGAACUGGAGGAGAAGGAAUCGGAGGCUGCAUACACAAAGGAUCUUGCAAAGGGUAGGACCACAUGCUAGCUUGCACCCCUGGUACAGGGCUGUUCCUCAGAAAGGGACAGUCACAGUUCCAUCUCAUGAAAGAUGACUUUUCCCUUUGCUGCUUUUCAGGCUGUUUAAAUUAACCUCUUCCCAGUCAGGGGAGUCCAGGGGCCGUCGCUGUGCAGAUUUCUCAGGAUCAUCCAUGCUUGGGUCCCGCUCUGGCAACUGCAGCAGCCUCCAGAUCAGCCACGUGUGGGGUGCUCUUCAUCCCAGUGUUAGGCUGUCAGCCACAGAAGAGCUGUUGUUCUCCAUAGCAAAGCCCAUACACGUCUCCUAAGGGCAAUCUGUACCAAAGGACAUGCUUGAGCCAGGGUGACACGUCCCACACGGUCAGUGGCCUACACCCCUGCCAGUGCACUGCAGGUGGCCACAGCAACUGCAGGCUGUCCUGAAAUUGGAGCCUUUUUGACUUGUUAGAUAACAUAUAUGGUCCAUUAGUUUGGCAGGCCGACAGGCCCUGUUGCCAAAAAG